CAAGCCAGCAAGACGAUUGCCGGGCGCAUUGUUUGCAAUAUGCCCGGAGGAAAGUCCGAACUUCCAUUUGCCGCAAGGCAUCUAAAAAGGUAGAGGGCAACACCCUUCGGCCGCGAGGCCCGAGGUGCGAACAGUGACGCUCAAACCGAAAGGCGAGAGGGUCCCGAACCGAAAGGCGAGGGAUCAAUCCUGUGGCAACAUAGGGGUGAAACGGCUAAAUCCUUACCGGAUGCAAGGUUAAACACCCCGCCUUUGGCGGGGUGAAAAGUGAACCGCUUGAGGCCGCAGAGUAAUUUGCGGUCCAGAUAAAUAAUCGUCUCGUUUCGCCAAAUCCGGCGGGAUUAGACAGAAUUCGGCUUAUUGCCGGCUUGGGUC
rnacentral:RNase_P_RNA from 1 species